rnacentral:lncRNA from 1 species
GCUAGGGAAACUCAUGGAGAAAAGAAGACAAAGUUCUUCAGUUAACAUUGACUGACUGAAUAUCUACUGAUUUUUUCAGUUAACUCAUGGAGCAAAUCCUUACAGUACCUUCUUCCUGAUGAAUGUAGCUCUGGCGGCAGCACGGGCAGACAAGCAGCAGCAGUACGGGUAGACGAGCAGCAGCAGUACGGGUAGAUGAGCAGCAGCUGUACAGGCAAAGGAGCUCCACCGGCGGCAGGGGACAAGCAUCCGCGCGGGCGCGCGGGCAGGGGAGAAGGAGCAGCACGAGCUUGCGCGGGAGAUUGAAGAAGACGCGCGGGAGAUCGAGGAUCACACGCGCGAGCUCCCGGUCCACUAGAUCGUGGCGGCAGGCUCCGGCGACGCCGGUAGGGGAUCGCGGCGGCGCACGCGUGGGAGCU